rnacentral:rRNA from 1 species
GUCCACGCCGUAAACGAUGGAUACUAGCUGUUCGGCUGUAAGGCUGAGUGGCUAAGCGAAAGUGAUAAGUAUCCCACCUGGGGAGUACGGGCGCAAGCCUGAAACUCAAAGGAAUUGACGGGGGCCCGCACAAGCGGUGGAGCAUGUGGUUUAAUUCGAUGAUACGCGAGGAACCUUACCAGGGCUUAAAUGUAGGUUGACAGGCUUGGAAACAGGUUUUUCUUCGGACAACUUACAAGGUGCUGCAUGGUUGUCGU